UACGGAGGAUCCAAGCGUUAUCCGGAUUUAUUGGGUUUAAAGGGUGCGUAGGUGGGAUAAUAAGUCAGAGGUGAAAGCUAGCAGCUUAACUGUUAAAUUGCCUUUGAUACUGUUAUUCUUGAGUGUAGUUGGCGUUGGCGGAAUGUGACAUGUAGCGGUGAAAUGCGUAGAUAUGUCACAGAACACCGAUCGCGAAGGCAGCUAACGAAGCUAUCACUGACACUGAUGCACGAAAGCGUGGGGAGCAAACAGG
rnacentral:rRNA from 1 species